ACUCCUACGGGAGGCAGCAGUGGGGAAUAUUGCACAAUGGGCGCAAGCCUGAUGCAGCCAUGCCGCGUGUAUGAAGAAGGCCUUCGGGUUGUAAAGUACUUUCAGCAGUGAGGAAGGCGGGUACGUUAAUAGCGUGCUUGUUUGACGUUAGCUGCAGAAGAAGCACCGGCUAACUCCGUGCCAGCAGCCGCGGUAAUACGGAGGGUGCGAGCGUUAAUCGGAAUUACUGGGCGUAAAGCGCAUGCAGGUGGUUUGUUAAGUCAGAUGUGAAAGCCCGGGGCUCAACCUCGGAAUUGCAUUUGAAACUGGCAGACUAGAGUACUGUAGAGGGGGGUAGAAUUUCAGGUGUAGCGGUGAAAUGCGUAGAGAUCUGAAGGAAUACCGGUGGCGAAGGCGGCCCCCCUGGACAGAUACUGACACUCAGAU
rnacentral:rRNA from 1 species